rnacentral:rRNA from 1 species
UUCGGGUGCCGACGAGUGGCGAACGGGUGAGUAACGCGUGGAUACCUGUCCUAUGGUGGGGAAUAACGUUUAGAAAUGAACGCUAAUACCGCAUAAGCCCUACGGGGGAAAGAUUUAUCGCCAUAGGAGGGGUCCGCGUCGGAUUAGCUUGUUGGUGGGGUAACGGCCUACCAAGGCGACGAUCCGUAGCUGGUCUGAGAGGAUGAUCAGCCACACUGGGACUGAGACACGGCCCAGACUCCUACGGGAGGCAGCAGUGGGGAAUAUUGCGCAAUGGGGGCAACCCUGACGCAGCGACGCCGCGUGGGUGAAGAAGGCCUUAGGGUUGUAAAGCCCCUUCAGUGGGAAAGAUUAUGACGGUACCCACAGAAGAAGCUCCGGCUAACUCCGUGCCAGCAGCCGCGGUAAUACGGAGGGAGCUAGCGUUGUUCGGAAUUACUGGGCGUAAAGGGCGCGUAGGCGGUUUGACAAG